AGGCUUAUGAAUGAAAAGAAAUGCAGCAUAAGUAAAUCAAUGCGGGCUGACUCCAGCCUAUGAAUAAAUUAUUAAUUUGUGCUCAUAGAAGAAUCCCCUUGAUAUAGCAAAUAUAGGAUUACAAGCUCUUCCACUGAGAGAGCAGCGUACGGAGCAGGAGGGAUUGGUCCAGGAAAUCAGCUCCUCCCGACCAUUCAGUGAAUGGAAAGCAAACCUGAACCAGAACAGCCACAAACCACCACAGGUGACACUACAGCCUGUCUGCAGCUGUGUCCUGGCCUGACCACUGCUGACUAUUCCUGAUGCUUAUCUACAAUGAGUUCUAAACAGAAGUAAUAAAUGCAGAAGCCUGAAGUUCUAAAAGCCUUGCUGAAGAUGUAAGACACCUCUUCUAGAAAUUAAUAUUUUAAAAAGAAUACAAGAAAGGAAAUAAGCCAGUUUAUCUUUAUUCUGUAUAUUAGAAGAUUCAGAUACUGCAAAAAUAGAAAAGCUGUAACUACUCUGCAUGACAUGGUAUUAAUACUUGCUUUGUACUACAUUCCUCUGCACUUCUAAAGAGUAAGAUUAUAAUCCUCAAAUGUGUUCUCCAUAGUGAUUUUUUUUUAUUUAACAGACUAAAUUAUCCAUUCUUAUUCUUGUUUGAAAUACUUAAUUUCAAAAAAUAUCCCUUAAAUAAAAGCAGUGGAAGAAUAAAGAGGGAAAAAGUGAAAGAAUAUAGAGUCAACUCAUACAGUAAACAAUUAUAAUACCAUGGUGAAAAUCCUCCCCACCUUUAACAAGUCUAUGAAACUUUUCUCUUACUUUUGUGUAAGCAUCAUGUUUCACAUACACUCACUCAUGGAAAAUAGAAGCAGGAGAAGUACAAAAGUUAUCUCAGCUUUGCAAAACUUGUGGCUGCCAGAUAAAAGACAAAAUCUGAAGGUUCUGAAUUUAUUAUUUCGAAGCAGCCCAGUGGUGGAAGCACUCAUUGAGUAGUGUUUGCCUGCUGUGAGAACACAGGCUUGCUUGUUCCGAGU